rnacentral:rRNA from 1 species
UACGGAGGGGGCUAGCGUUGUUCGGAAUUACUGGGCGUAAAGCGCACGUAGGCGGACUGGAAAGUCAGGGGUGAAAUCCCGGGGCUCAACCCCGGAAUGGCCUCCGAUACUGGCAAUCUUGAGGUCGGGAGAGGUGAGUGGAAUGGCGAGUGUAGAGGUGAAAUUCGUAGAUAUUCGCCGGAACACCAGUGGCGAGGGCGGCUCACUGGCCCGAUACUGACGCUGAGGUGCGAAAGCGUGGGGAGCAAACAGG